rnacentral:rRNA from 1 species
AUUGAACGCUGGCGGCAGGCCUAACACAUGCAAGUCGAGCGAGCGGCGGGCGGGUGAGAAAUGUAUGGGGGCUGCCAGUUAGAGGGGGGUAACUACAGUAAACGGUAGCUAAUACCCCGUACAAUUGGAGAACGCAUAUUGGAUUAGCUAGUAGGUGAGGUAACGGCGCACAUAGGGGACGAUCCCUAGCUGGUCUGAGAGGAUGAUCAGCCCCACUGGAACUGAGACACGGUCCAGACUCCUACGGAGGCAGCAGUGGGGAAUAUUGCACAAUGGGCGCAAGCCUGAUGCAGCCAUGCCGCGUGUAUGAAGAAGGCCUUAGGGUUGUAAAGUACUUUCAGUCGGGAGGCGUUACCAGCAGAAGAAGCACCGGCUAACUCCGUGCCAGCAGCCGCGGUAAUUC